AUACUUACCUGGCAAGGGAUAUACCGUGAUCAAGAAGGAUAGUUCACCCAGAGCGAGUCUCAGCCAUUGCACUCCGGCUGUGCUGACCCCUGCGAAUUUCCCAAAUGUGGAAAUCUCGAUUGCAGAAUUUCUGGUAGUGGGGGACUGCGUUCGCGCUCUCCCCUG
rnacentral:snRNA from 1 species